GAUGAACGCUGGCGGCGUGCCUAAUACAUGCAAGUCGAGCGAACAGAUAAGGAGCUUGCUCCUUUGAAGUUAGCGGCGGACGGGUGAGUAACACGUGGGUAACCUACCUAUAAGACUGGGAUAACUUCGGGAAACCGGAGCUAAUACCGGAUAACAUUUAGAACCGCAUGGUUCUAAAGUGAAAGAUGGUUUUGCUAUCACUUAUAGAUGGACCCGCGCCGUAUUAGCUAGUUGGUAAGGUAACGGCUUACCAAGGCGACGAUACGUAGCCGACCUGAGAGGGUGAUCGGCCACACUGGAACUGAGACACGGUCCAGACUCCUACGGGAGGCAGCAGUAGGGAAUCUUCCGCAAUGGGCGAAAGCCUGACGGAGCAACGCCGCGUGAGUGAUGAAGGGUUUCGGCUCGUAAAACUCUGUUAUUAGGGAAGAACAAAUGUGUAAGUAACUGUGCACAUCUUGACGGUACCUAAUCAGAAAGCCACGGCUAACUACGUGCCAGCAGCCGCGGUAAUACGUAGGUGGGCAGCGUUAUCCGAAAUUAUUGGGCGUAAAGCGCGCGUAGGCGGUUUCUUAGUCUGAUGUGAAAGCCCACGGCUCAACCGUGGAGGGUCAUUGGAAACUGGGAAACUUGAGUGCAGAAGAGGAAAGUGGAAUUCCAUGUGUAGCGGUGAAAUGCGCAGAGAUAUGGAGGAACACCAGUGGCGAAGGCGACUUUCUGGUCUGUAACUGACGCUGAUGUGCGAAAGCGUGGGGAUCAAACAGGAUUAGAUACCCUGGUAGCCCACGCCGUAAACGAUGAGUGCUAAGUGUUAGGGGGUUUCCGCCCCUUAGUGCUGCAGCUAACGCAUUAAGCACUCCGCCUGGGGAGUACGACCGCAAGGUUGAAACUCAAAGGAAUUGACGGGGACCCGCACAAGCGGUGGAGCAUGUGGUUUAAUUCGAAGCAACGCGAAGAACCUUACCAAAUCUUGACAUCCUUUGAAAACUCUAGAGAUAGAGCCUUCCCCUUCGGGGGACAAAGUGACAGGUGGUGCAUGGUUGUCGUCAGCUCGUGUCGUGAGAUGUUGGGUUAAGUCCCGCAACGAGCGCAACCCUUAAGCUUAGUUGCCAUCAUUAAGUUGGGCACUCUAGGUUGACUGCCGGUGACAAACCGGAGGAAGGUGGGGAUGACGUCAAAUCAUCAUGCCCCUUAUGAUUUGGGCUACACACGUGCUACAAUGGACAAUACAAAGGGCAGCUAAACCGCGAGGUCAUGCAAAUCCCAUAAAGUUGUUCUCAGUUCGGAUUGUAGUCUGCAACUCGACUACAUGGAGCUGGAAUCGCUAGUAAUCGUAGAUCAGCAUGCUACGGUGAAUACGUUCCCGGGUCU
rnacentral:rRNA from 1 species